GAUUAAUAAUCUUGAUUCUAGAAUUAACGAAUAUUACAUGUUUGACUCCAUGUGGUUAACCUCUGAUUUGGGAAGUUUGUUUAAGACAUUUUCUGGUGGGGGAGUUUGGCUGGGGCGGCACAUCUGUUAAAAGAUAACACAGGUGUCCAAAGUAUAACUCAAUGAGAACGGAAAUCUCAUGUAGAAUAAAGGGUAAAAGUUAUAUUGAUUUUGAUUUUCAGUAAGAAUACAAACCGUGAAAAGCGUGGCCUAUCGAUCCUUUAUUAAAUAAAAAUCUUAUGCUAGAGGUGUCAGAAAAGUUACCACAGGGAUAACUGGCUUGUGGCAGCCAAGAGUUCAAAUCGACGUUGCUUUUUGAUCCUUCGAUGUCGGCUCUUCCUAUCAUUGUGAAGCAGAAUUCACCAAGUGUUGGAUUGUUCACCCUUCAAAAGGGAACGUGAGC
rnacentral:rRNA from 1 species